AAUACCUUUACAAAAAUAUUUUGCUACUAGGCUCUUUCUUUGGAAUCUUCAUAUUGGCUUACCUGUAUGUAACGAUUAUGGAAAAGUAUUAGAUCUAUUUUUUUAAAGUUCAUCAAAAGUUGACCGAUUAUGGGAUUGAUAUAUUACUUGAACUAAAAAUAAACGUAUAUUGGAAACACAAGUUUGUUGUUGGAUAUAGUAAAAGGUAUUUCACACUGUAAAUCUUUGCCUUAAUUUGAACACAAGUAAAGGUUUUUUAGUUAGUGUUAGGCUGAACAUCUGCAGAUUUUGUUCUGAUAUGGGUAUAUACCUAUAGUCUUAAAAUAAGUAUCCGGCAAAUAAUUACCAUCAGAAAUGACUUAUCAAACACAGAAUGUAACAGAAGAACAGGCCCAAGAGGCCUUAGGGUUGUUAAAUAAGGAUGUAGCUAUUAAAAAGGUACCAACGAUUGGAAAAAGACAUUUGCAAGCCCUUAUGCUUUGUCUCUUGCUAUCUUGUUGUUAUGCAGUCAGAACAGCAUUGACUGUAGCCAUAGUAGCCAUGACCGAUCCAAAAUCCAACAGUAAUAAAGAUAUACCGACCUUCAACUGGAAUGACAAAAGCUUGAUUAUGGCAUCAUUUCUAUGGGGCUACUGGAUUCCUCAAAUAGUCGCCGGAUACAUAUCUGAUAAAUAUGGGGCAAAAUGGUUCUUAGUGGGAACUAUAACGGUGUCGGCAACUGCCGGUCUUCUAACUCCUUCCGCAGCUAUAUAUUUUGGCUCUAAAGGAGUUAUGAUUUGCCGAUUUCUACAAGGUCUAUCUCAAGGGUUUUUAUAUCCAUCAAUACACGCGUCAUUGGGCAAGUGGAUACCAGUUCCAGAACGGAGUAGGCUUGGUACUUUGGCUUAUUCAGGUGCAUCACUAGGUAUAGUUCUUUCCCUGAUAUUAACUGGAUACAUAUGUUCAACGCGUUAUGGAUGGCCCAUGGUUUUUUAUCUCUUAAACGCUAUCACGUUGGUAGUGGUGGCUAUGUAUAUCUAUAUUGGCAGCAACGAUCCAAGUAGUCAUCCGACCAUUAGCGAAGAGGAGAAGAAUUACAUUAUUAAUAGUUUAAACACUGCGACUGACAGGCACAAUUUGAUAGUUCCUUGGAAGGAAAUGCUUACAUCUAAUGCAUUCAUAGCUUUGUUUAUAACCAGUAUAUGUUUUAACUUCACCCACUGGAUGUUUUUAACGCAAACUUCUAUGUAUCUGGACAAGAUAAUGCAUUUUAACCUCAAAUCCAACAGCGUUCUGACGUCUCUUCCUUAUCUAAUGGAAUUUUUGGUCGGAUUUGUAGCAUGUUUCAUAGCAGAUUAUUUGAUUGCCAAGAAAACUGUUUCCACCACGAAUAUGAGAAAGAUUAUGAACAAUAUCGGAAUGUUUAUACCAGCAGUUGCUAUUUUUUUGCUAACUACCACCGGUUCAAAUGAUCAAAACUAUGUCAUUUUGAGUAUAAUACUUGUCAGCGGUUCCCACGGAAGCGGUAAAUCUGGUAAAGUCGUAAACCAUUUGGAUCUGGCUCCUAAUUUUUCAGGCGUUAUGAUGGGAUUUACUAAUGGACUUUCAAUUGGACUUUCUUCGUUUGCUCCUGUCUUGGCACAAAUUAUUGUAAAGGAUCAGGCCCCCUUUAACGAACUCCCCUGUGUUAAGAGCUAAUAUAUGGUAGAGGUACAUCUGCAGGGCACCAGGUUUCUCCCCAUAUGAUAAUCUGACGCGUACGAGUAACUGCAAAAAUCCCCGCUUGUGCUGUCCUACCAUAGGAAAUAUAAAAUCAGCUGGAUAAUUAAUUGGACCAGUAAAAAAAGGCACUAAUGCCUUUAACACUAUAUGGCGAAACCGGAAUAUUAACACUGAGAUGAAGUCAAGAAUUUAUAGAGCCAGUGUAAGACCAAUAAUGACAUAUGCAUCAGAAACAAGACCCGAUACAGCCACAACACAAAGACUACUAGAAACGGCAGAGAUGAGAUUACUGAAAAGAAUUACAGGAAAUACACGGAGAGAUCGGUAGAGGAGUGAAGAUAUCAGAAGACAAUGGAACGUAUAGUGUAUAAACGAAUGGACACUAAAUAGAAAAAAAGAAAAAGAAUGUUACAUAAUCAGAAUGGGGGAGACACGUGUGGUCAAAAUAGCACGAGAUAAAUCACCAAUCGGUAUAAGAAGUUUCGGCCGACCGCGCAAAAGAUGGAGUAACAACCUUCCAUAGAGGGAUCAAUCCGCCAAUGAACAAGCAGAAUUGCUUAUAAAGAGGAAGAAGAAGAAAAAGAAAUAAAAAAAAGAGUCUACUCACCACAAUAUUAGCCAAUGGCGUAUCAUUUUCUACUUAACGAUGGGAUUGAAUAUAUUUGGUGUUAUAUAUAACACAUUAUUUACGUCGGGAAAAAGACAACCAUGGAAUGAAGGAAAAAGGCGGAAAGAAG